CCUACGGGGGGCAGCAGUGGGGAAUAUUGGACAAUGGGGGCAACCCUGAUCCAGCCAUGCCGCGUGUGUGAAGAAGGCCCUCGGGUUGUAAAGCACUUUCAGUGAGGAAGAACGCCUGGUGGUUAAUACCCAUCAGGAAAGACAUCACUCACAGAAGAAGCACCGGCUAACUCCGUGCCAGCAGCCGCGGUAAUACGGAGGGUGGGAGCGUUAAUCGGAAUUACUGGGCGUAAAGCGCGCGUAGGUGGCUUGAUAAGCCGGUUGUGAAAGCCCCGGGCUCAACCUGGGAACGGCAUCCGGAACUGUCAAGCUAGAGUGCAGGAGAGGAAGGUAGAAUUCCCGGUGUAGCGGUGAAAUGCGUAGAGAUCGGGAGGAAUACCAGUGGCGAAGGCGGCCUUCUGGACUGACACUGACACUGAGGUGCGAAAGCGUGGGUAGCAAACAGGAUUAGAUACCCGGGUAGUC
rnacentral:rRNA from 1 species